rnacentral:rRNA from 1 species
GCUAAGAAUAUUCCGCAAUGGACGAAAGUCUGACGGAGCGACGCCGCGUGGAUGAAGAAGGCCGAAAGGUUGUAAAAUCCUUUUGCUGAUGAAGAAUAAGUGGUGUAGGGAAUGUCAUCAUGAUGACAUUAGUCGGUGAAUAAGCCCCGGCUAACUACGUGCCAGAAGCCGCGGUAACACGUAGGGGGCAAGCGUUGUUCGGAAUUAUUGGGCGUAAAGGGCAUGUAGGCGGUUUGGUAAGCCUGGUGUGAAAUCCUGCAGCUUAACUGUAGAAUUGCAUUGGGUACUGCCAGACUUGAAUCACAGAGGGGAAACUAGAAUUCCAGGUGUAGGGGUGGAAUCUGUAGAUAUCUGGAAGAAUACCGGUGGCGAAGGCGGGUUUCUAGCUGAUGAUUGACGCUGAGGUGCGAAAGUGCGGGGAGCAAACAGGAUUAGAUACCCUGGUAGUCC